rnacentral:rRNA from 1 species
UACGGGGGGGACACAGUGUUCGGUGAAUUACUGGGCGUAAAGCGCACGUAGGCGGAUCGAUCAGUCAGGGGUGAAAUCCCGCAGCUCAACUGCGGAACUGCCUUUGAUACUGUCGGUCUAGAGUAUGGAAGAGGUGAGUGGAAUUCCGAGUGUAGAGGUGAAAUUCGUAGAUAUCUGGAGGAACACCGGUGGCGAAGGCGGCAUCCUGGACCGAUACUGACGCUGAGGAGCGAAAGCCAGGGGAGCAAACGGG